CUUUUGUCUAAUACUGCAUGCAAUAACCAAGACAAACAACAUUUGUACAUAUUUGGGGUUGGUAUACUUGGCACAGUAGAAGCCUCAUCCUGGUUAAACUGAAAAUGUAGCUUAAAAAUGCGAUUCGAGGACCUGUUUUCUUUUGAAAAUGUUGCUCAAAUCAUUGGAAUAUUUGCUAAGUUUGAGCUACUUUUAGUUUAGAGGGGCUUAUUUUAAUGACCUAUUUCUAUUUUGCACAACAUUUUUUUUUUUUUAAACCCCCAAGUGCAGCCAUUUUGUGCUCUUUUCUAAGCAUUUAUUAUCUCAUAUGCUAAUGUCUACACAUGGUACAAAAUGGCGGUCAGCACUCGGUUUGGUCUACAGGUUAGGCUUCAUGCUGCCCCCAGGUAUCCAGCCCACAGUCUUUUACAGUGUGCUGUUUCAUUAUUAUAGUCAAUCUGUUUUGAAUGGUUUUUAUAUGUUUCUAUCUAUGAAAACUGUCAUUGCAACUCUAUCCAGUCAACAGUGGACUUCCUGUUAGCAAGACAGGCUCAAUAUGUACAAUAGAUUAGUGUUUUUAAUUAGAAUCACUUUUAGAGUUCACUGUGCACAAGUGGCUUUUUGGUACUUUGUUUGCAAAAAUGUAGAAUCAUAACUCCAGAGAAAAGACAUGCAGUUAGCUGGAUUAAUGUUUGAAUGAACCUGAACCUUUUUUUGUGCUUGCUAAUAGUGUGUUCAUAUUUGAGGCGCUAAUUAGAACACAACUGAUGAGCCAGUAUUUUUUUCUUUUAGACAUUGAAAAUAUGAAAAUAAACAUUCUCUGAACAUACAUAGUUAUUAAUAAGUCCUUAUUAUGAUAAAAUGACAGUGCAGAUUAUAAACAUGGGAAGUUGAGAGUGCCCUCUUACUGCAGCCACCUUCGCUUACUUUGGCAGUAUACUUUGGGUCAUUAAUACAUUUGCAUUGUGAAGAUCUGUCCAUUCAGUUUUACAGCAUUUGGGUGAAUCUAAGGCCCUGUACACUUUAAAAUUCAUUCUGCUACUUCUGUCAGCAGUCACAUCAUCAAUAAACAUUAGUGAUGCGGUCCCAUUAGCAGCUGUUCAUGCAAAUAUCAUUCUACUGCCUCUACCAUGUUUGACAGAUACUCUUCCCGUCAUUCUGGUGCAAACUAAUCUUGGCUUCAUCUGUCCAAAGAUCUUUUCUGGUAAAGUCUAAUCUGGCCUUACUGUUCUUGAGUGUUCUGUACAGCAUAUAAAUACACAAAUGUGUAGCUUAUGUCGAGGUUGCCGUGUCUUUUCACUGAGUUGAUGAUUUUAUAUCCAGCAUUCAUCACGUAUCCCAGUUAACCUUGUGCUGUAGAGCUAAAAGCUAACGUUGUGAUCUGAGUAGUUUACCUGCGGUCCUAUUACGCUCAUAUGUCAUAUCUGUACCUGCUGUACUUCUGCUAUAGUCCUCACUUGUUUUCUGUAUUUAAAGGUAGUUAGCUGAAUGUUUCUUACAGCAAUCCAGAUGUUUUCACUCUACAGCUGCCAGCUUUUUGGUUUUAGAAAAUACACCUUGUCAGAAUUGAAAAUAACUGUUGACAUGAAUUGAUUUUUUUUCUAAUCUCACUGUAAAGUUUUUACCUUCUGUUGUCUGAUCAGAUUUUUCCUUCAUAUCGGUGCAGUUUGCUUUGGAUCCCAAAUGUUCUCCUCUCCAUCAGAACUCUGUGUACCUUCAGAUCUGUUUGUGCUGAUUCAUGACAGUGACUGGAUGUAAUUAGUUACAGUUGUUUCUCCACAGACACAGAUAAUGCAGGACGAACACAUGUACGCUCCACUUUAAUCAGUGGUUUGAAGCCAUUUCAAUAUAUCGCUCCUAAAUUUAAUUGCGGUACCAACUCCUAUAGCUGUAAAUAAUCUCCUGAUACGCUUUGACUGGAGAAGAUUCUCUGAAUAAAACUGACCUACUGAGGCUUUUACGAAUCAGUGUUAUUCUGCGUCUGUGGAACCAACAUUUCCACUAACUUAAAGUUUCUGUGAUGACCUUUGAUUAAUCCCGGUGUGUGAUUGUUUCUCCAGUGUUGCUGUAGAAGGCUGAAAAUACUCUCUGUGGUCCCUGCACUCCUCAGCUUGUAGCUAGCAGCUGUGAGACAUGAAAUGUGUGCAAUGUUAAUUUAAAAUCCCAGCUGUUAUUGAGGCUCUGGCUUGAUAGGUUGAUUUAGAAAAGAUUUAUAUUUUAUACUUGUUUGAGGACAAAACCCAAUAAAUUUGGAUCAAAGGAU
ensembl:lncRNA